rnacentral:lncRNA from 14 species
CAGCAGCCUGAACACACGUUCCACUGGCUGAACUGAAAAUGCAGAGGCCUUCGGGUUCACGGGAACAGCAUGGGCUCUUGCCUGCUGGGAGUGCCCCAAAGAAGGAGCAGGGUACACGACUGAAGAGGUCCCUGGAUCAAGGAGUGAUACAGAAUAUGGCCGUUCCACCUAAAUUUCACAAGCAUGCCAAGAGGUUGGCUGUUGAAGCAGAAAAACGCAAUGGGAAGGAGAGCAGUGUGCGCAAGCAUGAGGCCAGGCCCCACAAAACCCCACGGGAGGGAAGUUCUCAUGGCACUCUGAUGAGCAACAAGCCACGCGAACAUGCCAUUCUGUCCUAUACUCCAGUGACUUGGCAGCAGCAAUCUGUGAUUUCUUUUCCUGCUGAGCAGCACCAUUCCUUUGUCAGGCCCAAAAG